rnacentral:lncRNA from 1 species
UUUGCAGCUGGCUCAAAGCCCUGCCCGUCUCCUGGGAACACAUCAUCGUUUUGAUUUCCUGUCUUGCAAGCAGGGCGGGGGCAGCAGGUGUCGUGGUUUCAGAGGCUUCUGCGUGGCCCUGUCCACUAGGACAGCUCCACUAGGACACUGCGGGACCCACUGUCUGAGUUCUUCCAGUUACCACGUGCGCCCUCCAGUGGUGUUUGGGGGAAUGACGGCUGGUCACGUGCGCCCUCCAGUGGUGUUUGAGGGAAUGACGGUUGGUCGGGACCCGAAGACCCACUGAGCACUAUGAGGCUUUCGUCCCUUAAGCGUUAACCACAGCCUAGACUCCCGUUCAGCAGUCCCUCAAGUGCCCGGCGCCCCUUUCAAGGGAGCCUGUAGGGUCCUCUUGGGCAAGGCCCAGGCGCAUCAUGACAGUUUGCAUGCGCUGUGGUUUGGGGAGGUCUUUCUCCAGGUGGUGAACCAGAGGUCAAAGGCUGGCUCAGGCGUCUGCAGGUCCUCUUUCCCCCUCACUACCCAGCCCACUGGCUUGCAAGGAUUCCACCCACCUGGCUUUGAUAAUAUUCACCGAUGGAUGUGCCACACUUUGCUUGUCCAGUCAACAUUUUCCCCUUGAAGGUCAUCUUGGUUGCUUCCAAAUUUGAACAACAACGAAUAAAACUGCUAGAAACAUUCAUGUGCAGGUUUCUGUGGGAAUAUAUGUUUUCAACUCAUUUGGGUAAAUUCUGAGAGGCACAAUUGCUGGAUCUGAUGGCAAGAGUAUGUUUAGUUCUGUAAGAAACCACAAAAGUGUCUUCCAAAGUGGCUGCACCAUUUUGGAUUCUCACUGCAAUGAUGAGAGUUCCUGUGGCUCCAUGUCCUCAUCAGCAUUUGGUGAUGUCAUGUCUGGAUUUUGGUCAUUCUAACAGGUUUGUGGUGGUUUCUACAUUGUUGUUUUCAUUGGCAGUUCCCUAAUGACAUAAGACAUUGAACAUCUUUCCAUAUGCUUAUUUGCCAUCUAUAUAUCUCCUUCUUCUUCUCCUUCUCCUUCUCCUUCUCCUUCUCCUUCUCCUUCUCCUUCUCCUUCUCCUUCUCCUUCUCCUUCUUCUUCUUCUUUUUGAGAUAGAGUCUUGCUCUGUUGACCAGGCUGGAGUGCAGUGGUGUGACAUUGGUUCACUGCAACCUCCACCUCAUGGGUUCAAGUGAUUCCCCUGCCUCAACCUCCCAAGUAGCUGGGACUACAGGCAUGCAACACCAUGGUCAGCAAUAUUUUUGUGUUUUUAGUAGAGACAGGGUUUCAACAUGUUAGCCAGGAUGGUCUUGAUCUCCUGACCUCGUGAUCUACCUGCCUCAACCUCCCAA